rnacentral:tRNA from 1 species
GCCUGGCUGGCUCAGUCGGUAGAGCCUGUAACUCUUGGUUUCAGGGUUGUGAGUUCAAGCCCCACCUUGGGCG